GAGUUUGAUUCUGGCUCAGGAUGAACGCUAGCGAUAGGCUUAACACAUGCAAGUCGAGGGGCAUCACGGGAUUAGCUUGCUAAUCUUGGUGGCGACCGGCGUAAGGGUGCGUAACGCGUAUGCAACUUGCCUGUCAGUGGGGAAUAACCCGGAGAAAUCCGGACUAAUACCGCAUACACUUUGGUUUCCGCAUGGAGACUUUAGGAAAGAUUUAUUGCUGACAGAUAGGCAUGCGUUCCAUUAGAUAGUUGGUGAGGUAACGGCUCACCAAGUCAACGAUGGAUAGGGGAGCUGAGAGGCUUAUCCCCCACACUGGAACUGAGACACGGUCCAGACUCCUACGGGAGGCAGCAGUGAGGAAUAUUGGUCAAUGGGCGAGAGCCUGAACCAGCCAAGUCGCGUGAAGGAAGACGGUCCUAUGGAUUGUAAACUUCUUUAGUAGGUGAGUACAAGCAGUUACGUGUAGCUUAGCAAGUACCUAGAUAU
rnacentral:rRNA from 1 species